GGCGAGUGAAGCGGCAACAGCUCAAAUUUGAAAUCUGGCUCUUUCAGGGUCCGAGUUGUAAUUUGCAGAGGGUGCUUUGGCGUUGGCUGUGGUCUAAGUUCCUUGGAACAGGACGUCACAGAGGGUGAGAAUCCCGUACGUGGCCGCCAGCUUUCGCCGUGUAAAGCCCCUUCGAUGAGUCGAGUUGUUUGGGAAUGCAGCUCUAAAUGGGAGGUAAAUUUCUUCUAAAGCUAAAUAUUUGCCAGAGACCGAUAGCGCACAAGUAGAGUGAUCGAAAGAUGAAAAGCACUUUGGAAAGAGAGUCAAAAAGCACGUGAAAUUGUUGAAAGGGAAGCGCUUGCAGCUAGACGUGCCUUGGGUUGAUCAGCCGGACUUUUGCCCGGUGCACUCUUCCUUUGGCAGGCCAGCAUCAGUUUGGGCGGCUGGAUAAAGGUCUGUUAAACGUGACUUCCUUCGGGGAGAGCUUAUAGGGCAGACGACAUGCAGCCAGCCUGAACUGAGGUCCGCGCAUCUGCUAGGAUGCUGGCGUAAUAGCUGUAAGCGGCCCGUCUUGAAACACGGACCAAGGAGUCUAACAUCUAUGCGAGUGUUUGGGUGUCAAGCCCGAGCGCGCAAUGAAAGUAAACGGAGGUGGGAACCCUCGGGUGCACCAUCGACCGAUCCUGAUGUCUUCGGAUGGAUUUGAGUAAGAGCAUAGCUGUUGGGACCCGAAAGAUGGUGAACUAUGCCUGAAUAGGGUGAAGCCAGAGGAAACUCUGGUGGAGGCUCGCAGCGGUUCUGACGUGCAAAUCGAUCGUCAAAUUUGGGCAUAGGGGCG
rnacentral:rRNA from 1 species